rnacentral:rRNA from 1 species
UACGUAGGGAGCGAGCGUUGUCCGGAUUCAUUGGGCGUAAAGAGCUCGUAGGCGGCUUGAUAAGUCGGAUGUGAAACCUCCAGGCUCAACCUGGAGUUGCCAUCCGAUACUGUCAUGGCUAGAGUCCGGUAGGGGCCCACGGAAUUCCUGGUGUAGCGGUGAAAUGCGUAGAGAGCGGGAGGAACACCAGUGGCGAAGGCGCCGUGCUGGGCGGGCCCUGACGCUGAGGCGCGAAAGCGUGGGGAGCGAACAGG